AGUGCUGCAUAGUCCUGUCUUUUGUUUCAGCAAGACCAGACUAACACAGUUACAUCUCUAUUAUUAAGGAUUUCAAUGACAUCUUAAUGUGGAGCAAACUACCCCACCUCUGCCUCCUGGUGGGUUUGUGCAGGUGGUUCUGUGACAUCUGAUGCUGGAGACUGUUGGAGACUGGAUGCUGACCAGACAGACCACAGGUCUGAUCCAGUAUGGCAAUUCCUAGAUCCCUGUGUAACAUAAAUAACAUAAUGCAGUUUUCUGAAUAGUGGGGUUUGAGAAACCUACUUAAGUUAUCUAUUCAAUUUCUAUAUUUAUAACAUAAUCAGCACUUUGAUUAUUUAUAGGUAACUAAACCAAUGUCAAGCAAUUGUUAGUUCAUACUGAGCCUAGCUCUGUUUCCAUUGGAGUCAAUGGGAGUAAUGCUGUUGAAUUUUAAGGGGCAAGAAUUAGGCUCAUAGUCUGUGGGAGCCAUUUUCAUGCAAAAUGAAAACUGAAAAUGGAAGCAGCGAAAUUAAACAAUACCAAAUAUUCAACAGUGCCACAGUAUUUAAGUGCAUUUGUCAUAAGUGUAAAGGCAUAAGCAUGCAGGAGUCUUUAGAAGGGAGAAACUACCACCAUUUUAAACACAAGAGAAUAUAUUGCUCUUUAACAGUAAUACUUCAACAAGUUUAAUAAAGUCUGUAAUUUCCAGUGCUGAGAGGGAAGCAUCACAGAAUAUAUCAUAGAGAGCUUUAGUCACAUCUAAAUAUGUGUGUGUGGGGGAACUAAACAGAAGAGUUAUCACAGCUAAGUGCUGUUUUUUAUUUGCAAUGCUCAUGUACAUUUCAAAAAUGGGAGUAUCUGCAGCUGUGUGAUUGUGACCCAAAUGUUGUGGUGUUAGAGGUGCACUAGCAUUCCUUUGUCCUCUCAGGAAAUGAGUAGGAUGCUCUUUAAUACGUGUGCAAUCAUUUCUGCAUGCAGGCAGUGUACGUUUUGUAAAUCUUUAAUAGAAAAUAGUAUCAAGAAAUGAGUAAAUAAGUAUUGAACCAAGAAUCCCAUUUAUAAUAGGUAUUUUGAAGAAAUUCUAUUUCAAGCAGAGGUUAUUUACAUAUGCUUGCUAGUAUUGAUUAAUACUACAAUAAAAGACAGAACCCAGUGUGUCUAUGAAGUUUUGUUAAUCAAAACUUUCUCAGACUAUAAAUACAUUGGGAUGGGAAGGUUACCCAAUUUUCUCAUAUUGUUAAGGAAUAAUAAGCUUUUGACAUAAUCAAAAAGUGGUGGUUAAACACUGAAUAUUCAAGAUGUCAUGCUUGAGCUAACCAGAUUUUUAGAAACAAGAAAAACCUACAGCUGAUAAAGCUUGCACAACUCACAUACUAUGAGAUUUUUUUUUCCAGUUUCUCUUCAAAAUAAAAAAUAAGAAUGAACCUUAAAUAUUAACCACUGUACCUGGUGGUCUCAUACUUGUGUGUAAAUGUUAAGGAUAACGAAUUUCUCCAUAAACUACAUUUUAAAUUAAGGCUGUUGUUAUUUAUAUAGCAUCAAAUAUGAUUAUUGGUUUAUAAACAUGUAGAUUCCCUGCCUCACAGAAUGUAUUAAAGCCCCGAUCCAUGCACUUGUGCAUGUGCUUUAUUUUAAGUACAAAUAAUCUUACUUAACUUUACUCACAUAAAGCAGUUAAAUUGAAGUACAUGCUAAAGAGCCUGAAUUGAUUGGGGCCUGAGUAGCAAAGGAGCCAUUUUGGGCACGCGGAGGGCGUGGGGGGGACCAACAGCUGUGCACUCCAAGACAUGGCUUACUUUUCAUCCCAUUCCCCGGGACGCUGAGGGAGUGAGGGGAAAGGGCUUGCAUUGCGUGCAUUCCUCUCACACCUGACAGGUGAGCUCCUUUCUCCAGCCAGGUAUGAGAGGCAUGCACUUUGCAGUCACUCCCUUAGCUUCCGGGGAAUGGGAUGAAAAGCAAGCCGCAUCCCAGAGCACUCUUGCUGAGUAGACAAAAGGCGCCCUUGCUGAGUAGACAAUGUUUAGGUUGGUAACUUAAAACUUUUAAGUUGGUAAGUGGUAAUUUGCUUACUACAUAUUUUUUCUCUUUCAACAGCGAAGCUCAUUGCUUCACAAACUAUGGUCUGUGGCCCACAAGUGGUUUAGAUUUUCUUGUGGAUUACACCACCAACAGAAAUGGUUCCAUGUCUUGAGGAAAAUAGAGGAAUUCAGGGAUUUGGAGUAAGCCACACUCUUACAUACUAAGGGAUGCCAACCUGUAUCAUUACCUUGGAGCUGUGAAAAUAGAUCCUUAGCCAUGUGAAUGUUGGCCAACUUAAUGCCAUGAAAUGGAACAAAAGGUUCUAUAUGCCAUUAUGGAUGGAGCUCCCAUGACUUCCAUGGAAUUGAUCUGGGGUGACUUUUCUCUGUGUAUGUAACCAAAGUUCUGUUGUAUAUUAUUAUUUCAAAAAUUCCUUUAAUUAGAAACAGCCAUAAUUUAUUUCAUAAUAGUAAUGAAUAGCCGCUGUACUGUGUUUCUGUUCAUGUAGACAUAACAUUAAUCUCUGGAAUUAAUUGUGAUUGCACACUUCAUUGUUUUCCUUUGAAUAGCAGACUUUCAAAAUGAAAGUUCAUCAAUGCAUGAAGUAAUAAUAACAAUAUUUUACUACAACCAGCUGAUAUUUUUAUUUUUACUCAUCUGUAUGCACUGUAUUAUUAUAAAUUAUACAAAAUAGACAAAUGUAAUGGUUAACUGUAAUAGUUUACUGAUGUACCUAACAAGUAUUACACAUAUCUACAUUUCCUAAUGUAUUACUAGAACCAAGCAUGCACAGAGCAAAUCAGCACUCCCCUAGCAUUCUUUUAAGGAUGGCAGCUUCACUAUUUGUGUAAAAGAAGAGCCAGAAGUAGAAGACACAUCCUGAUGGCCUUCUUCCUAUCAUAGGUGCAUAGAUACAAAACUAAAAUAAAUCUCUCCCGUAGGAAGCAGACUAGUACAAAGUACAUGCUUUCAUCGUGUACAGUGAGGAAGGGCUAGAUUGUGGUAUACCUCAGGCACUCUAGGAAUGCAUUCCCAAUAAAGCAUUUAUUUACAGCCAUCAUCAUUUGUUAGUAGGCAUUCAUGUAAAUAGCUCAUCGGGCCUGGUCUACAUAGGGAGAUUAGGUCGAAUUUAGCCUCAUUCAGUCGAUUUUCUAAACAAUGAGUCCACACCACUAAGCCUGUUCCCUGUUCCACACUACUAAGCCCGACUUAAAGGGCCAUUAAAGCUGAUUUCUGUACUCCUGCUUUUAUAUGAGGAGUAGCCACUAAAUUUGAUCUUGACCAAUUGACUUUUGGGUAGUGCAGACACAGCACCGUGAAAAUUGAUGUUCUUGGUUUCUGGGAAAGUUACACUAUCCCAGAAAAUGGGGGGAGGAAGGGAGGCGGAACACAUGGGUGCCACAUAAGCCCCUACCCUACUGUCACAACUGGGCCCCCUCCCACUUCCCAUUUGCUUACUUGUGCCUGCAGCAAGGGAAAGUUGCACUCUCCUGGCAAACGGGGAGUGCUGAACACGCAGGUGCUGUGUGAGCCGCUGCCAUGCCCAGGCCCUCUAAUCCUUUCUCCCCGAAGGUUCAUGCCCUGGCUUGUUCCUUGCCCUGCCUGCCAGAAAACCAAGUCCAGCUGCUCCAUCAAGAACCCUGAGGUGUACCUGCUGCAAAGUAACCACCUGAAAGAUAACUGUGGCCUUGUUCAUAACAUGUCCUUAUGGUCUUUAGACCAGUGUUUCUUAAACUUUUUGAGACCACGGAACACCAAACAAUAAUGUUUUUUUAUGCGGAACACCUAUGGAAAUUUUCUUCAAAAAAGAAAAAUUGUUGUCAGACAAAAAAAGACAAAAGCAAAGAAGUAAUAAUAACAAGGAAGAGGUCGCGGCACACCUGCGAGUUGUUCACGGAUUAGCAGUGUUUCAUGGAACAUAGUUUAAGAAACACUGCUUUAGACAGACCUUCAUUUUGUUCUAACAGAUUAGGCUUUACAUUCUACAGUGGAGCUCCUGUAAAGCAUGCUCUUCUCUUUUUGUUACCAUGGGAACAGCAAUGAGCCUGGUGUGCAUUCCCCCUACCCGCUGUCUGCCUCACACAAAUCCACAGGUGAAAAUGGACAAGGGAAGAGAUGUCCCAGGAGCAAAUGCAAUCUGCCAACUUGGACAGGGAGAGAAGCACCAGGAGAGAGUGUUGUCAUCCGGUACUCCUUCCUGGACAGGCACCGCCUCCACCCCUUGCAAACCAACAUUCCCUCUUUACCAAGUUCCAUAGGCCUCCUCUCCCAGGGGCUCUAGAAGGCGGGAGUGGGCGGGGGAGAGAGGAGUCAAGGACAGACUCACACUCAACUCCCAGGGAUGUGUCGAGAAGCAAAACACUCUCCUCACAAUUGUUAGCACACACUCCCCCCAAAGCUCUCGCCCUGGGCUCCUUUUCUGUCACUGCUC